rnacentral:rRNA from 1 species
UCUCAAGUGUGAGGUAAGAGCAUUUGGUGGAUGCCUUGGCAUGCACAGGCGAUGAAAGACGUGGCACACUGCGAUAAGCCAUGGCGAGACGUGAGCAGUCUUUGACCCAUGGAUUUCUGAAUGGGGAAACCCAGCUUCUCCAAUAAAUCAUAACGGGCGGUCCGGUUUCGGCCGGUUUGUCCGCUACGGUUUAUUGGGGCGGUUAUCUUCAAGAUGAAUACAUAGUUUUGGAGAAGCAAACCCGGAGAACUGAAACAUCUCAGUACCCGGAGGAAAGGACAUCAACCGAGACUCCCGUAGUAGUGGCGAGCGAACCGGGACCAGGCCAGUGCUGGCAAGUGCGUUAGCGGAAGCCUUUGGAAAGAGGCGCCGUAGUGGGUGACAGCCCCGUACGCGAAAACAAUCUUGUCAGUCUUGAGUAGGGCGGGGCACGUGAAACCCUGUCUGAACGUGGGGGGACCACCCUCCAAGCCUAAGUACUCGUGCAUGACCGAUAGUGAACUAG